rnacentral:rRNA from 1 species
AGGUACUCCUGCCUCUGGCUGUCGAGCGGAGCGCCGCCGCGCCGCCGCACCUUCUCCCGUCCCCGCCGACCCGCCGAACACCGACCCUAGGACUCCCAUGCCGCUGGCGCAGUGCACGACCCGGCCAUUCGGAUAUCGUGCUGGCCUCGCCCCGUCGUCAUCAGCAGGCACAGCGGCUCCUGAAUCCAGUAGCCACGGCCGCACACAACACACGCCGGUAGGCGGCACACUUCACGCCUCCGAGCGAUGGCGCAG